rnacentral:snRNA from 1 species
GUGCUCGCUUCGGCAGCACAUAUACUAAAAUUGGAAUGAUACAGAGAAGAUUAAUUAGCAUGGCCUCUGCAAGGAUGAGAAAAAUGAAAAAAAGAAAAUUAAAUAAUUA